CAUGCAAGUCGAGGGGCAGCAUUUCAGUUUGCUUGCAAACUGGAGAUGGCGACCGGCGCNCGGGUGAGUAACACGUAUCCAACCUGCCGAUAACUCGGGGAUAGCCUUUCGAAAGAAAGAUUAAUACCCGAUGGNAUAAUCAGACCGCAUGGUCUUAUUAUUAAAGAAUUUCGGUUAUCGAUGGGGAUGCGUUCCAUUAGGCAGUUGGUGAGGUAACGGCUCACCAAACCUUCGAUGGAUAGGGGUUCUGAGAGGAAGGUCCCCCACAUUGGAACUGAGACACGGUCCAAACUCCUACGGGAGGCAGCAGUGAGGAAUAUUGGUCAAUGGGCGCAGGCCUGAACCAGCCAAGUAGCGUGAAGGAUGACUGCCCUAUGGGUUGUAAACUUCUUUUAUAUGGGAAUAAAGUUUUCCACGUGUGGAAUUUUGUAUGUACCAUAUGAAUAAGGAUCGGCUAACUCCGUGCCAGCAGCCGCGGUAAUACGGAGGAUCCGAGCGUUAUCCGGAUUUAUUGGGUUUAAAGGGAGCGUAGGUGGACAGUUAAGUCAGUUGUGAAAGUUUGCGGCUCAACCGUAAAAUUGCAGUUGAUACUGGCUGUCUUGAGUACAGUAGAGGUGGGCGGAAUUCGUGGUGUAGCGGUGAAAUGCUUAGAUAUCACGAAGAACUCCGAUUGCGAAGGCAGCUCACUGGACUGCAACUGACACUGAUGCUCGAAAGUGUGGGUAUCAAACAGGAUUAGAUACCCUGGUAGUCCACACAGUAAACGAUGAAUACUCGCUGUUUGCGAUAUACAGUAAGCGGCCAAGCGAAAGCAUUAAGUAUUCCACCUGGGGAGUACGCCGGCAACGGUGAAACUCAAAGGAAUUGACGGGGGCCCGCACAAGCGGAGGAACAUGUGGUUUAAUUCGAUGAUACGCGAGGAACCUUACCCGGGCUUAAAUUGCAUUUGAAUANUNUGGAAACAGNUUAGCCGCAAGGCAAAUGUGAAGGUGCUGCAUGGUUGUCGUCAGCUCGUGCCGUGAGGUGUCGGCUUAAGUGCCAUAACGAGCGCAACCCUUAUCUUUAGUUACUAACAGGUCAUGCUGAGGACUCUAGAGAGACUGCCGUCGUAAGAUGUGAGGAAGGUGGGGAUGACGUCAAAUCAGCACGGCCCUUACGUCCGGGGCUACACACGUGUUACAAUGGGGGGUACAGAAGGCAGCUACCUGGUGACAGGAUGCUAAUCCCAAAAGCCUCUCUCAGUUCGGAUCGAAGUCUGCAACCCGACUUCGUGAAGCUGGAUUCGCUAGUAAUCGCGCAUCAGCCAUGGCGCGGUGAAUACGUUCCCGGGCCUUGUACACACCGCCCGUCAAGCCAUGAAAGCCGGGGGUACCUGAAGUACGAACCGCAAGGAG
rnacentral:rRNA from 1 species